GAGGUAGUGACGAAAAAUAACAAUUCAAGACUCGAAACGAGGCCUUGAAGUUGGAAUGAGUACACUUUAAAACUUUUAACGAGUAUCUAUUGGAGGGCAAGUCUGGUGCCAGCAGCCGCGGUAAUUCCAGCUCCAAUAGCGUAUACUAAAGUUGUUGCGGUUAAAAAGCUCGUAGUUGGAUCUUGGAGUGUGAGUGAAUGGUCGAUCGAAAGAUUGUACUGUUCGGCACACUCUUCUCUUCGGUUGCGUGUGUAGUGCCCUUAACUGAGUGCUGCACUCGACCGAAAUUUUUACCUUGAAAAAAUUAGAGUGUUCAAAGCAGACCUGAUUAUGUCUGAAUAUUCGUGCAUGGAAUAAUAAAAUAAGAACUUGGUUCUAUUUUAUUGGUUUUCGGAACUCGAGUUAAUGAUUAAGAGGGACAGACGGGGGCAUCCGUACUCUGCCGUUAGAGGUGAAAUUCUUGGAUCGGCGGAAGACGCGCAACUGCGAAAGCAUUUGCCAAGAAUGUUUUCUUUAAUCAAGAACGAGAGUCGGAGGUUCGAAGACGAUCAGAUACCGUCCUAGUUUCGACUGUAAACUAUGCCAGCUAACGAUCAGACAGCGUUCUCUACGACUUGUCUGGCAGUUUCCGGGAAACCAAAGCUUUUGGGUUCCGGGGGAAGUAUGGUUGCAAAGCUGAAACUUAAAGGAAUUGACGGAAGGGCACCACCAGGAGUGGAGCCUGCGGCUUAAUUUGACUCAACACGG
rnacentral:rRNA from 1 species